CUGCUGACUUCAGCAGCACAUGUACAAAAAAUGUAACAACACAAUUGAGAAGAUUAGCAUGGUCCCUGAGCAAGGAUGACAUGCAAAUUCUUGACACAUUCCUUAUUUCU
rnacentral:snRNA from 1 species